rnacentral:rRNA from 1 species
CAGUCGCCACGGGAAUACGGAGGGCGCGAGCGUUACCCGGAUUUACUGGGCGUAAAGGGCGUGUAGGCGGCCUGGGGCGUCCCAUGUGAAAGGCCACGGCUCAACCGUGGAGGAGCGUGGGAUACGCUCAGGCUAGAGGGUGGGAGAGGGUGGUGGAAUUCCCGGAGAAGCGGUGAAAUGCGCAGAUACCGGGAGGAACGCCGAUGGCGAAGGCAGCCUCCUGGUCCACUUCUGACGCUGAGGCGCGAAAGCGUGGGGAGCAAACCGGAUUAGAUACCCCCGUAGUCCCUGUCUCUUAUAC